GCUGAUGAACGUAACGAAGUUCCACACUGGCUCUGUAAAUAUCUGAGGGUCGAUCUUUGCUACUGCAACGACGGUAACCGAUGAUACUCCAUGAUAACCAAUGCGCGGUACGUGUUAUCAUUUCGUUACAGGCUGUUACUGUUGGCAAGAUAAGCCACGAAAUUCGAAAAGUCCCGUUCACCAACAAUCCCAAAGCCACCCCUUGACCGUGCGAUAAUAUUGAUAGCAGGAAGAAAUUAAAAGUUCGCUAAACUUCAAGUCAGCAACGCACCGCAGCGACAAUACUGCUAUCAUACGACGUAUACCUAUAUGCGUAAACACGGACAGACUCCAAAGAUGCAGGAACAUCAACCUUCAAAUGUCAAAUGGAUAUAUAUACAUAUAGGCUGUCCCAAAAUUCAUGUACCCAUGGGUCAUGGCUGUGUUCGGGAGGCAUAAGAGAUCACGAAGAUGAUUCUUUUUCUGUCCAGAAGAAGAAACGGUAGGCAUCUACAGACCUUGAGAUUUCUUCCCUUGCUUCUGUUUCUUUCACGGCAGCGAUGAGGCUGCACAUGCUACAGACAGAUCACGCGAAAUAUCAAUUGAUUCACGGUCCGAGCACUAACUGCAUUAUUUGACAGACCACCGAUACGCCUUGGCUUCGCAUAGCAGCUUCACGCGGAUCCUGUGAUCCGCAAUCGUUUCGAGCGACGCGUUCGGUCGGACGAAAACCCGUGCCUGAAACGUAGAUGAAUCCCAUUAGACCUGCUCCCAUUUGAAGACUAAGAACUUCUACAGAAAAAAAGAUCAUUUCCAUGAUCCUUGAUGCCUCCCGAACACGGUCAUCCCCCGAAAGUACAUAAAUUUUGAGACACCCUGUAUACCUAAUACACACGUUAUAAACAUACAUCUAUAUCCCAAGAAUAACACGAAUCCAUCAACUCUCUGAACAUAAUUAACGAGCUGCCGCCAACUUGUCUCCGAUUCGGGUUGGUAGAGCGAUCGAUUAAUCACACACAGUUGCAAUUAUGCUGGAACCUACUGUAUACACGUGACGACAAGAUGAACAACGCGCCAAGUCCUUUUAUCAAAGGCAAAGAAGCUGGACACUGAAUUUGCUUAGUUACACUUGGUAAAUGGAUCGGUUGCUCGGACAGGAUCAUCAAAAGGCACAUUCGUAUUUAUAUGUAUAUAUGAACAUACGACACAAUGACACGCGACAAAGAGAAUCGUAGACCCAAAAUUAUACAAACUACGAACACACUGAAAAUUCGUACAGGGAAUUCGCACGAGUGCCCAUAUACCUAAAUGUUCACUUAUGGUAUGCAUAUGGUCCAUAUACAUGUAUAAAUUCAUAGCGUCACAGGGUAUAUAAAUACUAAGACCAAAGGGGCACACGAUGCUUAGUGUUUGUUAAACCAUGCAGUGGUACAACGUGUACUAUUAUCGUUAUGUCUCUCUCACUCUUGUUAGCAGAGAUGGACACAGGAUACAAUAGAGAUGUUACUACGGAAUCGUACUAAGUACAUAUAUACCACGGCACUUUACGUGUAUCUCGUAUAACGGGUGUGUGUUGGCGUAUCGGGCAGUAAAGAAGUUUGACUGUAGCAUGUUGGGUAGAUGUAUACAGUGUGACGGAAUAGUUUCAGAUCGGAUAUAUAAGACCAUUACUCGUGGCUGCUGUCGGAUCGUAGUUAAUAUCCAUUUAAACCUAUAGCGACUGAUAAAAAUGGUUUUCUCUAUCGAUGGGAUUGGGUCGUUGAUUAAUUGAACAAUAUUGGUGUAAUUGAAACGGAUGAUUUAUCGUAAUAUUAUUUGUUUGGACUUUCAGCGGUUUGGGAUUGGAGAUAAAAGUGAUUUUUCUUCUGCGGUUAUGCAACCUUUUAUUAUGGGGAUGUAAGAACCGUUCAGUAUGGCCAUUAGUAAUUUGCCAUUGAGAACCUGUAACAUCUACGGAACCAUCCAUUAGGUGGAGUUACCGGGUAGUUAGUGUAGGCUCCUAUUGUGACUGGCGCAUCAAUAAUGCCGGUUUCGAGGGUGGACGUUCAGAAGCAACCCCUUCUUGCUAUUUGGAUCUAGAAGAGCCCGACCACCCCUAUCAAUAACGUCUAAUCGACCUGCGUAGCUCGUGGACAUGGACGAGACUAAAGGCCAUAUGGGUAAAGGGAACAAGAGAGUGGAGGGUGACGUCAGAGUGAGAGAGAGAGAGAGAGAAAGGGGGGAGGGGGGGAUGAACAUUUAUUUUACUAGAGUUACUAGACCCUUUUAAGUAUAAAGCAAAAAAUAUAUGAAGUAGGACAAAGAGAAUUUUAGAGAAUUUUAUUAAGUUAGCCUAAGUAUAUAAGCUUGUAAUCAACCUGGACGGACCUAUAGCAGUUGUAAGAUGAAACCAGAAAGGUACGUAGUGCUUUUUUUAAAUGCGACCAGCGUGCACUUUUCACAAAUGGCAGUCGGAGGCGAAUUCGAAAAUCUAAUAUCGGACGCUAGCAGCGACUGUUGAUAAAGUAAAGAAAAACUAUCAAGUUGGAAGCAAACGAACGAGUGUUAGGAGCUGACGUGGAACUGGAUGACGCGAAGUUUAAUUCUCUGGAGAAGCCAAGAGACCAGAAGUGCCGAGCAAUGCACUCCGGUUUAUUCGCACCUGGGACGGGACGAACGGACCGGUUAAAUGUUUGCUGCAACCUCAGAUUCUCUUUGGUCCGACGGAACGAGCCGGCGACGCUGGCCCUUUGUUAAGGGAAAAUGACGCUUCGACCUUGUACCAACCCCGUGUAAGAUCGUCGCAUCUCGUGUCGAAGAUGUCAUCAACCGGAGGAGUAUUUACAUAUCUGGAAGACCCUAACAUCAGCCUUGGUUUUCGACGGGUUUACACGAAGGUUGGCCGAACCACGAUUUCGAACAAUUUCAAUGUAAACUUCUCGCAAUACAAUUGUUCGUGCAAGCUGGAGAACAAUGGGCAUACAUCUGUCUGUGCGUUAGAGAGAGAGAGAGAGAGAGAGAGAGA